GUCCUGUUGUCCCAGCUGAAUGGCAGGAACAAGAACCAAGCCAUCAAUGAAUAUGCCCUACUGGUCAUCAGGUACCCAGUUGGAAUUGUAACCUGGCCAAGAGAAGAACUGGUCACCAUGGAUAUCAAGACCCAGAAACUACUCACUAUGAAUGGAGGAUUCCACCUGAAAUCAAGCACCCAGACAUUGUACACAAGCCUGAAGGAAGGAGGUCGGGGACUGAUGAGUGUCAAGGCCACAGUCCUAGUUGAAACACAGAGCAUC